GACGAACGCUGGCGGCGUGCUUAACACAUGCAAGUCGAACGGAAAGGCCCUGCUUUUGUGGGGUGCUCGAGUGGCGAACGGGUGAGUAACACGUGAGUAACCUGCCCUUUACUUUGGGAUAACUUCAGGAAACUGGGGCUAAUACCGGAUAGGAGCUCCUGCUGCAUGGUGGGGGUUGGACAGUUUCGGCGGUUGGGGAUGGACUCGCGGCUUAUCAGCUUGUUGGUGGGGUAGUGGCUUACCAAGGCUUUGACGGGUAGCCGGCCUGAGAGGGUGACCGGCCACAUUGGGACUGGGGUACGGCCCAGACUCCUACGGGAGGCAGCAGUGGGGAAUAUUGCACAAUGGGCGGAAGCCUGAUGCAGCAACGCCGCGUGCGGGAUGACGGCCUUCGGGUUGUAAACCGCUUUCGCCUGUGACGAAGCGUGAGGGACGGUAAUGGGUAAAGAAGCACCGGCUAACUACGU
rnacentral:rRNA from 1 species